AUUGAACGCUGGUGGCAGGCCUAACACAUGCAAGUCGAGCGGAGCGGCGGACGGGUGAGUAAUGCCUAUGUAUCUGCCUGGUAGUGGGGGAUAACGUCCGCAAACGGGCGCUAAUACCGCAUUCUAUCUGAUGAGCCUAGGUCGGCUUUGCUAGUUGGUGGGGUAAAGGCCUACCAAGGCGACGAUCCGUAACUGGGCUGAGAGGAGGAUCAGUCACACUGGAACUGAGACACGGUCCAGACGCCGACGGGCGGGAGCAGUGUGGAAUGUUGGAGGAUGGGCGAAAACCUGGUCCAGCCAUGCCGCGUGUAUGAAGAAAGUCUGCGGAUUGUAAGCCACUUUAAGUGGGGUGGCAUUAGCAACAGAAUUAGCACAGGAUGACUUAGUGCCAGCAGCCGCGGUAAUAC
rnacentral:rRNA from 1 species